rnacentral:rRNA from 1 species
ACAUGCAAGUCGAACGGCAGCGGGAAGAAAGCUUGCUUUCUUUGCCGGCGAGUGGCGAACGGGUGAGUAAUGUAUCGGAACGUGCCCAGUAGCRGGGGAUAACUGGCCGAAAGGUCAGCUAAUACCGCAUACGCCCUACGGGGGAAAGGGGGGGAUUCUUCGGAACCUCUCACUAUUGGAGCGGCCGAUAUCGGAUUAGCUAGUUGGUGGGGUAAUGGCCUACCAAGGCGACGAUCCGUAGCUGGUUUGAGAGGACGACCAGCCACACUGGGACUGAGACACGGCCCAGACUCCUACRSGAGGCAGCAGUGGGGAAUUUUGGACAAUGGGGGAAACCCUGAUCCAGCCAUCCCGCGUGUGCGAUGAAGGCCUUCGGGUUGUAAAGCACUUUUGUCAGGGAAGAAAAGGUUCUGGCUAAUACCCGGAACUGAUGACGGUACCUGAAGAAUAAGCACCGGCUAACUACGUGCCAGCAGCCGCGGUAAUACGUAGGGUGCAAGCGUUAAUCGGAAUUACUGGGCGUAAAGCGUGCGCAGGCGGUUCGGAAAGAAGGAUGUGAAAUCCCAGGGCUCAACCUUGGAACUGCAUUCUUAACUACCGAACUAGAGUAUGUCAGAGGGGGGUAGAAUUCCGCGUGUAGCAGUGAAAUGCGUAGAUAUGCGGAGGAAUACCGAUGGCGAAGGCAGCCCCCUGGGAUAAUACUGACGCUCAUGCACGAAAGCGUGGGUAGCAAACAGGAUUAGAUACCCUGGUAGUCCACGCCCUAAACGAUGUCAACUAGCUGUUGGGCCCUUCGGGGCUUAGUAGCGUAGCUAACGCGUGAAGUUGACCGCCUGGGGAGUACGGUCGCAAGAUUAAAACUCAA